rnacentral:rRNA from 1 species
UACGUAGGGCGCAAGCGUUAUCCGGAAUUAUUGGGCGUAAGGAGCUCGUAGGCGGUUUGUCGCGUCUGCCGUGAAAGUCCGGGGCUCAACUCCGGAUCUGCGGUGGGUACGGGCAGACUAGAGUGAUGUAGGGGAGACUGGAAUUCCUGGUGUAGCGGUGAAAUGCGCAGAUAUCAGGAGGAACACCGAUGGCGAAGGCAGGUCUCUGGGCAUUAACUGACGCUGAGGAGCGAAAGCAUGGGGAGCGAACAGG